UCGGAGAGUUUGAUCCUGGCUCAGGAUGAACGCUGGCGGCGUGCCUAAUACAUGCAAGUCGAGCGAACUGAUUAGAAGCUUGCUUCUAUGACGUUAGCGGCGGACGGGUGAGUAACACGUGGGUAACCUGCCUGUAAGACUGGGAUAACUUCGGGAAACCGAAGCUAAUACCGGAUAGGAUCUUCUCCUUCAUGGGAGAUGAUUGAAAGAUGGUUUCGGCUAUCACUUACAGAUGGGCCCGCGGUGCAUUAGCUAGUUGGUGAGGUAACGGCUCACCAAGGCAACGAUGCAUAGCCGACCUGAGAGGGUGAUCGGCCACACUGGGACUGAGACACGGCCCAGACUCCUACGGGAGGCAGCAGUAGGGAAUCUUCCGCAAUGGACGAAAGUCUGACGGAGCAACGCCGCGUGAGUGAUGAAGGCUUUCGGGUCGUAAAACUCUGUUGUUAGGGAAGAACAAGUACAAGAGUAACUGCUUGUACCUUGACGGUACCUAACCAGAAAGCCACGGCUAACUACGUGCCAGCAGCCGCGGUAAUACGUAGGUGGCAAGCGUUAUCCGGAAUUAUUGGGCGUAAAG
rnacentral:rRNA from 2 species